CCCAAUUCCUAGGACGCAUCCUUCAAAGGCUGCAUUCGAAGGAUGCGUCGACGCAGAUUGCGUCACAGCGACGCGCCAAGUGCUGUCCCAAUUCCAAGGGUCCUUCAAAUGCGGCCUACGAAUGCAGCCUUCUUUUCCCGGAUUUGAAGGAUGCAUCGGCUGUAUCCUUCACGGCCCAACGUAUCCCAAGAUCCUUCACGGCCCAACGUAUCCCUCCCAAGAUUCAUUGCGCACUCAAUCAAUGGAGAUGGCGGAGAAUGGCGAUUUAAGUUCUGCAUUUAAAUGGAGCCAGCAGCAUACUGCUCGAUUUAUUAUAUUGAGGGGGGAGAACGAUGAGCUGUUCACUGGGGUGAAAUACUCAGCAAGUGUGGCUUGGGGGAUUGCAAGUAUCCAGGGUCAGGAGAGGGGGUAGGUGGGAAACCCACUGCUGCCACUUGGCCCUGGUUUGUCCCCAUGGAUAAGGUAUUGGGACAGAGGCAUUCCACCAACCCCCCUGUCCUAAUUGCCUCCAUCCCUGAGAACACACCAGGGCCAAGUACAGCAAGUACAGCAGUGGUGGAUCAGGAGGUUGAGGACAAGGAUCAGGAGGAGGAAAGACAGCGAGGGCCAAGGUCCAGAAAGAGGGACAGAGAGGAAGACAUGUUCCAGAGUCGCUCACUAUCUUCCGAAAAAGACUCAAGAUUCACCUGUUCAGAGUCCACCUCGACUGCAUAGCCACCCUCCCCCUUCUGGCAACCAUUGUACACUGUG
ensembl:lncRNA